rnacentral:rRNA from 1 species
AUGUGCACGCCAGCGGCGGGUGGCCGCGGGCGCGUGCGCUUGAACGUCGGCGGACGGGUGUUCCAGACCACGGCCGCCACGCUCGCCGCCGCGGGGCGGGACACCAUGCUCGGCGCCAUGCUGGACGCCUCCUGGAACGCCGCGGCCGCGGGCGACGAGGCCGACUACUUCAUCGACCGCGACCCGGCCUGCUUCGCGGUGCUGCUCGACCUGCUCCGCACGGGCGGCCUCCACGUGCCGCCCCACAUCCCCGACGCCGUGCUCUGCCGCGAGGCGCUCUAUUACGGCCUCCUCGACCGCGUCCGCGCCGCGCGCUGGGACGACUUCGACGGCGACCGCCUCCGCCUGGCCGCGUCCGUGCCGGGCCGGGCCGUGGGGGACGGCACGGCCGUCCGCGCGGCGCCCGACGGAGGCUGCUGCGUCGCGCACGGCGGCGCCGUGCGCGUCUACAACUGGAUGCUCGAGGAGCGUCGGCCGGUCUACCUCGACCACGCGCCGGUCAACGACGCGGCCUACCUCGACGCCUCCACGCUCCUCGUCGCCGCGCGCGAGCGCCCCGGCAGGCGGGACAGCGGCGUGGCCGCUUUCUCGGUGCUCACCGGCGAGAUGCGCCACCGCUUCCGCGUCGCGCACGAUCGUCAGGUCAGGUCCUUCACCCCCGGCGCACUGGCCUUCGACCAGGAGUGCAGCAUCUUUGCGAGCUGCAAGGGCCGGCUCAAAGAGUAUGGCAUUGGUGUAUGGGACGGCACCACCGGCGAGCAGACGGGUUUCUUCUACGAGCCGCCCGGCUGCGCCCUCGGGGACGCCGAUAAGCUCCAGUGGCUGGACGGCACCAAAACGCUCAUGGCGGCCACCAUGUUUCCGCGGGCGGAUUCUUCUUUCAUCAGCCUGCUGGAUUUCCGGGACAAGAACGUCGUCUGGUCGUGGUGCGACGUCGGCACGCCGGCGUCGCUCGAGGACAAGCACGCGGUCCACGCCAUCGCAAUGGAGGACGGGAGGUCGAUCUGCGUCAUCAACCAGUACGAUGACCUCGGGUUCCUCGACAUCCGGAGCAGCGCCGGCGGUGUGCGCUGGAGAUCACGGAGCAAGCUGAUGAGCAGGAAGAAGGUGCACGCCGAGGAGACGUGCUAUCCCAAGCUCGCCACGCACGCCGGCCAGCUCUUCGCGUCGACGAACGACGCCAUCUCGGUAUUCACUGGCCCCGACCAUGCACUGACCUCAACGCUGCGCGGGAGCGACGGCGGCGCCAUCUGCGACUUCUCCAUUGGGGGCGACCGUCUUUUCGCCUUGCAUAACGAGGAGAAUGUGUUCGAUGUCUGGGAGACGCCGCCACCGCCGAUCAUCUGA